GGAGCUUCUGGCUCAGGGUCCAGAGGAAAACCUGUGAUCUCCAGAUGGAGGGCUAUGGCUAUGCAGGAGCAGAAGAAGCAAUAGGAUUUAUUGUUGAUGUGCAUUAGAAAAACCAUGGCUUCACUCUCUGCAAAUCGCCUCAAAC
rnacentral:lncRNA from 1 species